rnacentral:rRNA from 1 species
UUAAGCGACUAAGCGUACACGGUGGAUGCCCUGGCAGUCAGAGGCGAUGAAGGACGUGCUAAUCUGCGAAAAGCGUCGGUAAGGUGAUAUGAACCGUUAUAACCGGCGAUGUCCGAAUGGGGAAACCCAGUGCAAUUCGUUGCACUAUCGUUAACUGAAUACAUAGGUUAACGAGGCGAACCGGGGGAACUGAAACAUCUAAGUACCCCGAGGAAAAGAAAUCAACCGAGAUUCCCCCAGUAGCGGCGAGCGAACGGGGAGCAGCCCAGAGUCUGAAUCAGCUUGUGUGUUAGUGGAACGGUCUGGAAAGUCCGACGGUACAGGGUGAUAGUCCCGUACACCAAAAUGCACAGGCUGUGAACUCGAAGAGUAGGGCGGGACACGUGGUAUCCUGUCUGAAUAUGGGGGGACCAUCCUCCAAGGCUAAAUACUCCUGACUGACCGAUAGUGAACCAGUACCGUGAGGGAAAGGCGAAAAGAACCCCGGCGAGGGGAGUGAAAAAGAACCUGAAACCGUGUACGUACAAGCAGUGGGAGCACCUUCGGGUGUGACUGCGUACCUUUUGUAUAAUGGGUCAGCGACUUAUAUUCUGUAGCAAGGUUAACCGUAUAGGGGAGCCGCAGGGAAACCGAGUCUUAACUGGGCGUUAAGUUGCAGGGUAUAGACCCGAAACCCGGUGAUCUAGCCAUGGGCAGGUUGAAGGUUGGGUAACACUAACUGGAGGACCGAACCGACUAAUGUUGAAAAAUUAGCGGAUGACUUGUGGCUGGGGGUGAAAGGCCAAUCAAACCGGGAGAUAGCUGGUUCUCCCCGAAAGCUAUUUAGGUAGCGCCUCGUGAAUUCAUCUUCGGGGGUAGAGCACUGUUUCGGCUAGGGGGUCAUCCCGACUUACCAACCCGAUGCAAACUACGAAUACCGAAGAAUGUUAUCACGGGAGACACACGGCGGGUGCUAACGUCCGUCGUGAAGAGGGAAACAACCCAGACCGCCAGCUAAGGUCCCAAAGUCAUGGUUAAGUGGGAAACGAUGUGGGAAGGCACAGACAGCCAGGAUGUUGGCUUAGAAGCAGCCAUCAUUUAAAGAAAGCGUAAUAGCUCACUGGUCGAGUCGGCCUGCGCGGAAGAUGUAACGGGGCUAAACCAUGCACCGAAGCUGCGGCAGCGACACUAUGUGUUGUUGGGUAGGGGAGCGUUCUGUAAGCCUGCGAAGGUGACCUGUGAGGGUUGCUGGAGGUAUCAGAAGUGCGAAUGCUGACAUAAGUAACGAUAAAGCGGGUGAAAAGCCCGCUCGCCGGAAGACCAAGGGUUCCUGUCCAACGUUAAUCGGGGCAGGGUGAGUCGACCCCUAAGGCGAGGCCGAAAGGCGUAGUCGAUGGGAAACAGGUUAAUAUUCCUGUACUUGGUGUUACUGCGAAGGGGGGACGGAGAAGGCUAUGUUAGCCGGGCGACGGUUGUCCCGGUUUAAGCAUGUAGGCUGGUUGUCCAGGCAAAUCCGGAUAAUCAAGGCUGAGGUGUGAUGACGAGGCACUACGGUGCUGAAGUAACAAAUGCCCUGCUUCCAGGAAAAGCCUCUAAGCAUCAGGUAACAUUAAAUCGUACCCCAAACCGACACAGGUGGUCAGGUAGAGAAUACCAAGGCGCUUGAGAGAACUCGGGUGAAGGAACUAGGCAAAAUGGUGCCGUAACUUCGGGAGAAGGCACGCUGGUGUGUAGGUGAAGCCCCUGCGGGUGGAGCUGAGACCAGUCGAAGAUACCAGCUGGCUGCAACUGUUUAUUAAAAACACAGCACUGUGCAAACACGAAAGUGGACGUAUACGGUGUGACGCCUGCCCGGUGCCGGAAGGUUAAUUGAUGGGGUUAUCCGUAAGGAGAAGCUCUUGAUCGAAGCCCCGGUAAACGGCGGCCGUAACUAUAACGGUCCUAAGGUAGCGAAAUUCCUUGUCGGGUAAGUUCCGACCUGCACGAAUGGCGUAAUGAUGGCCAGGCUGUCUCCACCCGAGACUCAGUGAAAUUGAACUCGCUGUGAAGAUGCAGUGUACCCGCGGCAAGACGGAAAGACCCCGUGAACCUUUACUAUAGCUUGACACUGAACAUUGAGCCUUGAUGUGUAGGAUAGGUGGGAGGCUUUGAAGCGUGGACGCCAGUCUGCGUGGAGCCAACCUUGAAAUACCACCCUUUAAUGUUUGAUGUUCUAACGUUGGCCCCUGACCGGGGUUGCGGACAGUGUCUGGUGGGUAGUUUGACUGGGGCGGUCUCCUCCCAAAGCGUAACGGAGGAGCACGAAGGUUAGCUAAUCCUGGUCGGACAUCAGGAGGUUAGUGCAAUGGCAUAAGCUAGCUUGACUGCGAGCGUGACGGCGCGAGCAGGUGCGAAAGCAGGUCAUAGUGAUCCGGUGGUUCUGAAUGGAAGGGCCAUCGCUCAACGGAUAAAAGGUACUCCGGGGAUAACAGGCUGAUACCGCCCAAGAGUUCAUAUCGACGGCGGUGUUUGGCACCUCGAUGUCGGCUCAUCACAUCCUGGGGCUGAAGUAGGUCCCAAGGGUAUGGCUGUUCGCCAUUUAAAGUGGUACGCGAGCUGGGUUUAGAACGUCGUGAGACAGUUCGGUCCCUAUCUGCCGUGGGCGCUGGAGAAUUGAGGGGGGCUGCUCCUAGUACGAGAGGACCGGAGUGGACGCAUCACUGGUGUUCGGGUUGUCAUGCCAAUGGCACUGCCCGGUAGCUAAAUGCGGAAGAGAUAAGUGCUGAAAGCAUCUAAGCACGAAACUUGCCCCGAGAUGAGUUCUCCCUGAGACUUUAAGUCUCCUGAAGGAACGUUGAAGACGACGACGUUGAUAGGCCGGGUGUGUAAGCGCAGCGAUGCGUUGAGCUAACCGGUACUAAUGAACCGUGAGGCUUAACCU